rnacentral:rRNA from 1 species
GAUGAACGCUGGCGGCGUGCUUAACACAUGCAAGUCGAACGGAAAGACCCGGCGCUUGCGGCGUGCUCGAUUGGCGAACGGGGGAGUAAAACGUGAGUAACCUGCCCCUGACUUUGGGAUAACUUCACGAAACUGGGGCUAAUACCGGAUAUGAUCUCCUGAAGCACGGGGGGGGUUGGAAAGUUUCGGCGGUUGGGGAUGGACUCGCUGCUUAUCCGCUUCUUGGUGGGGUAGUGGCUGACCAAGGCUUUGACGGGUAGCCGGCAUGAGAGGGUGACCGGCCACAUUGGGACUGAGAUACGGCCCAGACUCCUACGGGAGGCAGCAGUGGGGAGUAUGGCACAGUGGGCGGGAGCCUGAUGCAGAGGCCCCGCGUGCGGGAUGACGGCCUUCGGGUUGUAAACAGAUUUGGCCGGAGACGAAGCGUGAGUGACGGUAAUGGGUAAAGAAGCACCGGCUAACUACGUG